UGAUAAGUCUUAUCUACAGUGUAAACUGUUCUUAUUCAUCAGCAAGUUUAUAGUGUAUUUUUCGAUAUACAAGAAACAAUGUCUAUACGAGAAUUAUCCAAAGAGCUGCAAGAAGUAGCAAUUAAGGAAUUAAAUGAAGAUCCGAAACGAAUCCCAAGUGACUUGGCUUACAUUAGAGAAUGGAUUUCUAAGCAACCACAUCUUAAAGCUAGAACAGAUGAUCGGUUUUUAAUAACCUUUUUACGGGGUACCAAAUUCAGCUUAGAAAGAACAAAAGAAAAAUUGGAUAUGCAUUAUACUUUAAAAACUAUUACACCCGAAAUAUAUCAUAAUCGUGAUCCCUCUUCUCCACAAGUGCAAAAAAUCUUAAAAUUGGGAGUCAUGCUUCCACUACCAAAAUUAAUAAGUCCUGGUGGUCCACGGCUUUUACUUAUGAGAAAUGGCCUUGUGGAAAAGCAUAAAAUCGAGCAAGCAGAUCUUUUCAAAGUUAGUACAAUGAUGCAAGAUAUUUUGCUUCUUGAAGAUGACAAUUUGGCUGUUUCUGGAGCUAUGGCUGUGCAAGAUAUGUCUGAUAUGUCUAUAGCUUUUGUGAAGUCUUUGUCUAUCUCAUUAACUAAGAAAGCAAUGACCUGUUUUCAACACGGUUAUCCAAACAGAAUCAAAGGAGGGCAUUUCUUUAACAUCAGUGGAGUAUUUGACGUAAUGUAUAAUCUGUUUAAACCAUUUUUAACGGAAAAGUUGAAAAGAAGGAUGUGUGUUUAUGAGUCACUGGAGGAAUUAUGUAAGGUAAUUCCAAAGGAAGUAUUACCAGAAGAAUAUGGUGGACAAGGUGGUAAAAUUGAGCACAUUGCAGCUCACUGGAAAUCUAAGAUAGAAAGUUAUCGAGAUUGGUUUAUAGAAGAUGAAAAAUACAGAACAGAUGAAAAUAAACGACCUGGAAAACCGAGAACAUCCGAAUCUGUGUUUGGCUUAGAAGGAUCUUUCAGGCAGCUCGCAGUUGAUUAGUAUAGAUAAAACAUUUCUUAUCUUAUCACUAUACUUGGGUAAAUAAAGAUAAAUAUUUGAAACAAUAUGCUUCCUUAAGCCUACCUACAAAAUCGUCAUAAUGAUGUUUGUUAUUUUCUUCUAUUUAUUAAAAUCAUUUGAUGUAGUUGAGUGGUAAAUAACUAAUAAAGUUUUUACUGUCUUAAAUGUCCAAACAAAGUGAUGAGCCGAUGUCAAACUGCAAGGUUCUGUGUCGUCAUGAAAUCACAGAGAAACAGUACAAAGCGUUUAGAAAGGCACCACCUCCACCAAAAUUUCGUUCUGUUAGUCAUACCGUAGUAAACUUUGAAGGUGGUGAUGAUUUACAUUCCACUCGCGUCAGAUACUCUGAGACAGAAAAAUCAAAAAUUGAUAAUAAAUUAAGUAGAGAGAGUAGUAAGCAAAACUGCUUAGAGUCAAACAUAUACAACCUUAUCAAUAAAGAAAAGCAAUAUAUAAAAAAGUUAAAUAUUUUACUACAAAAAUUAGAAGUUGUUUGUACAAUUGGUUCUAAAAAGUUAUCACUCAUGAAAGACAUUUUGGAUAUGCAUAAUAAGAUAAUACUGAUGAAAAUGAAUCGCAUUUCUACCGCCAUCGAUGUUCCACACUUGUUUCUCAAAUGUGGUACAAGAUUAUUGCAGUUGUAUGUACAUUUUACUAAAAUUUGGAGUGAUUUCUCUUAUGUGGUUAUGGAUAUUUGUGAAAGUAUAAUUGACCAUUUUAAAGCAAGGCUACUCGAAUACAAUUUCACAUUGUCCCAAAUUAAGAAUAUUACCGUAAGCAACCCAGACGUAAGCAGAUCUUGUGACGAAGCAGAGGAUGCAGUGAAAAAUGUGUAUCAGAAAAUUAUUGUUGCAGCUAGAAAUCAACUCGUAAAUUAAGAACAAUAAACAGUAUGAAAGCC